rnacentral:lncRNA from 1 species
CAAUCUCAUGGUUCUAAAGCAAUAAUCUGCAUUUCCCAGACCACUAGAGAACUCACCUUUUCAUGGGUUGGCUAUUUGGAUCUUCUCCUCAAAUUCUUGCUUAUUUCUCUGUUGUGCUGUUUGUAUCCAUGCCAGUAUGUGACAACAUUUGCCUAUUGCAGAUAUUAACCCUAUGCCUAGAUUGAACAAUUUUUUCCCCUCAAUCUAGGAUUUGUCCAUUGAUUUGGUUUAGGUUAUCUCUUGCCUUACAAAAUGUUGUUACAGUCAUGAAAAUGUUCCGGCCUUUAUUCCACUCCUUUCUCAUUUCUCUCCCUUUCUUCCUCAUCUUCUUCUGGCUGCGUGUGUGUGAGUGUGUGCGUGUGCUUGUGCCUGUUUUCCUUCCCCCAUUUCUGCCCUUCUUUGUCUUUCUUGUUUCCUUUUUCUUUUUUUUCUUUUUGCUUUUUAGGGCUGCACCUGCGGUAUAUGGAGGUUCCCAGGUUAGGGGUCCAAUCAGAGCUGUAGCUGCUGGCCUACACCACAGCCGCAGCAACGUAGUAUCGAGCCGCAUCUGCAACCUGCACCACAGCUCACGGCAAUGCUGGAUCCUUAACCCGCUGAGCGAGGUCAGGGAUCAAACCCACAACCUCAAGGUUACUAGUCGGAUUCAUUUCCAUUGCGCUGCAACGGGAACUCCGAGAAUGCUAAUUUUCAGUGCAGAGGGCACUGUAUUUUCUUGCUUGUAUUUCCUUACAAAGCCAAGGCACACCCAUGAGGUGAUGGGGAAGCAAAAUAAGUGGCUAAAACAAUGCAUUUUUAAAAUUAGCUGAAUUUGAUAUCCCUUGAGGUUUGUUUGUUUUCUGUAUGGAUUUUCCAGUUCACCCUCAGAUUCUGCUUCCAUAGGUCUGGAGUGGUUGUAAGGUACAAAUGGAUAUCUAUUUUACUAUCUCUCCAGGGGACCCCAGUAACCAUCAGGGCUGGAAAUCUGCCUUAGCACUGGAUCAGGGAGGCUAAACAAAUGCUCUCCAGUCUGGGCAGCUUGCUUGGGAGAUUGGAAAAGUUAGGCUGUUGAAGUUUCAGAUGAUUAUCUUCAGCAACCAGCCAACUCAGCAUAAGACAGCAUGAGGGGCUCACAAGAAGUAGAGAAAGGGGUAAAGUAAUUCUACAGGCCUGAUACUCCUCAGAGAGGAGAGGUGAUGUGUAACUCAAGUGCAGCUGCAGUGCAGCUAAUGGGCACAGGGGGGCAGUGUAGCCCCAUGUGGCUCAGAAGCUGGCUCGAAUUGAGGCCUGACCCUGCUGGGAGCAAGGCUCCAGGAGAGCUCUGGCAGGGGUGAAGGGCUGUUCCACCCUCCUCCUCCCCUGCCCGCCUUAGUCCCUGUCCUGCAGAACCUGGCUCUCAGAUGAUUAAAGUUCAUACAACAUUUAUUGAGCAUGAAUUGUCUCAUGUCAAACACUAUCCUGGAUUGUUUUAUUUAAUCUUCAUAGCAAUCCACGACAGGCAUGCUAUUUCCUUUCUCCCGAUGUGGAAGCUGCAGCUUAGGGAAGUUAAUUAAUUUCCUAGUAGGUAGCAGAGCCAGGAUUUAAACACAAGCCUGUCUGACUCCAAGCCACAUGUUCUUUUCAUUCAGCAACUGCUGCUUUAUCCAGGUACCAUUUAAUUAAUUCUGAAUGUAUUUAUAAAUGCUACUUUACCAAUUUAUUCUGCAUGCCGAUUAUUUCUUUUUUGUUUUUCUUUCUUAAACAAAGGGAUCAGUAAGAAUAAUCGAGUUAGCUAAGAAACUUAUACCCACAGUCUGCAUUUUAACAGGAGGCUGAAGAAACAAAGGAUGAGUGGCCAUCGGUGGAAAAUCACCUUGGGAUUGCCUCCGCCACACAGCUAGGCCUGGAUGUCACACUCAUCUAAGGCAGGAUUUUACUUGGCUGACAUGGUGUUACUUAAAAAUCUAAAUCUCAAUUCAUCACAGUUGCUACCAUUCGCUUUUCUUUCCAUCGUCAUGUUUUACUCACCCAUGCUACCUGCCUGGUAUCUGCUGAUGGCAGCACCAGGCUGAUGGGUCCUGGCAAUACCACUGCCUUGGGGCCUUGAACCUCACCUUCCACCUUUUCCUUCCCUUGCUGACUUCCCUCCAGGUGUUGUCACUGUCAAGACACUGGAUGUUGUCUGUAGCCAGAGGCUCUUGCACCUGCAUCCCUAGGUCCAUUCUGCUGCUUCUAGUACCCAUUCCAGCCCCCGGGCUUGCCAGAGCCAAAUUUAGCUGCAGCUGCUUGGUCAGAUGCUUGGGUAUUUUCAGCUGUAGAGGCAUAAGGUGGCUGGCACUUACUGAGGGCGGUUGGCCAGGGUUCACACCCAAUGUUUUGGAUUGAAAUUAGCAUCCAUGUUGUUCGAGGUGCUUGGUCCCUCCCACAUUUUUUUUUUAUUAAAUUGAAAGUGGGGAGAAAGGAGAAGGCAAGAAGUGGCAGAGAGUAAGACAGCACAAGGUUAAGACCCUGGGGACUUUCUGGACUUGCCAUCAUUUCUCCCUUCUCCUUAAUGUCACCCUCAGGGCGAGUGAGUGCUGCAAGAUCAUGAGCUGGAGACCACUGAGGGUGACCCUCAUGCCAGGGCCACCCCUGGCUGGCAGCUGAGAGGAGAGUAUAUUCGGUCUCACACAGCAAGGGCUCCCUCCUGGCCUGCUUGCCCCUGAAUCAGUGUCCAUGGAGCUGCCAGCCUUGCUCUGAGCUCUGGUGCUCAUGUGUCCGGUGUCCUUUCUUGACCUGGGUCUUCAUGGACGGGGCUGUGUUCCCUAAAGCUUUGGCCCAUAGCUCCAUGAAAGUUCCCAGCCAGUGAGUGUGUGGGGUUGGUAGGCCCCCUGGCUAAGAGGGCAAGUGUAAUGUGCAUGAUGGCAGCUUCUCAGUGGUGGUUACAAAUAGAAGAGGAACAUGGGACCAGAGAUGGAGCAGUGGCACCGUAGGGGUGUAGAGGGGAGGAGAUGCACAGAGAGGGAGGAUGCAGCUCCAGGAACUGGGGCCUGGGUGGAGGAGGGGCCUGCCUGAGCAGGGGAACCAUCCCUGGCUGUUCUCAACUACUGUCCUUGGCCAUGAGAUAUUGUCAAACCUCCUAUGAAUCCAAGUGAAAUGGAGAGGGUCUUCCCUCUUUUCCUAACUCCUUCAUGUCCAAGGGAGGAGAAAUUCUCCUGUUUGUUGUGUCCAGUGUGCCUGAACUCAGGGUGCUUAGUAGAUGUCCACUGGCUGGCACCUCCAGCCCACAGCUCUCACAUUGGAAGGGGCUUAUGGUCUUCUCUUUGGAUAUGCUUUGUUCCAGAAGGCAAGUUGCUGCUCUGAGGUUGUUAGUUUUAGGUCUGGGUUCCUGACCUCUCCUCUGGUGUCCUCGGCAUCUUUCUCUUUGUCAUGCCAGUACUGACUAGAUCCAGCAGCCAGGACUCAGCCCCAGGUACAUUUUAAACACUUUGCAUGUAUUAACUCAUUUAGAUCUUGCACCAGACCAACCUAUGAGGCGGGCACUACUGUUGUCCCUGUUUUACAGAUAAGGCCACAGAGACUCAGAGAAUUUAAGUGACUUUCCCAAGGUCACGCCGGAUUUGGAGCUGGGUGUUCUGGCUCUAGAACUCAUAACCAUGGAGUGUACUGCCUCUCAAGGUGCUUCAUUGGGUCUGCCUGUUUCUUGUCCAGCUGCUAUUACCAAACUGUGAACAACUUGAGAGGGAUCGAUUAUGUUUUAUUCCUCUUUGGUCGCAAGAUCUAUCCCUGAGCCCAAUAUAUUGGAAGCUGAAGCAAAUGUUUGU